rnacentral:tRNA from 1 species
GGGAAUGUGGCUUAGUGGUAGAGUGCUUGCCUAGCAUGCAUGAAGCCCUGGGUUCGAUUCCUUAGCACCA